rnacentral:lncRNA from 1 species
GCAGAAGCAAAGACUAGCAGGUUGGGUCGAUAAACUAUAAAGCACCCAAGACUUUCUGACCAUCCAGGAGCUGGGAGAGGCAUGGAGCCCAGAGUGAGCUAAUACAGUCCCUGAGGAACCACGAUUUCUGGCAUCCGCGCCUUUCUGUGUUUUCCCUACUAUGCUGGUGCCUGGAAGUCAGUCUUCCACUAGCAGCCUUUGGAUGAAGAUGUAGAACUCUCAGCUCUGCCUGUGCCACGCCUGUCUGGAUGCUGCCAUGCUUGAUGAUAAUGGACCUGUAAGCCAGCCCCAAUGAAAUGUUGUUUUUAUAAGACUUGCCUUGGUCAUGGUGUCUGUUCACAGCAGUAAAACCCUAACUAGGACAAUGUCUUACCAAAAUAAGUGUAUGCACAUGUGUAUAUUCGCCUUUAACAUCUAAAAACAACCAGCAUGCGCUGGCACGGCUCUGUAAACGGUAACUGUCGAGGAAUCCACCUCCUUGUAGAGCCGUAAGGGCUGACUCCAGCAGGAAACCAUCAGCGUCCAAGCUCGUAGGAAACCAAAGGUCACCUGACAAACCUAGCAGCCACAAAAAGGUGACGAAAUCUCCAUGGGACUGUGAGAGCCCUGUUGGGAAAAGCAAAGCCAUCCGGGCAUAGCAAGAUACCAGGACCCUGUCAUCUAACAAGCACCAGGGAAGUGUUGUGAGAAGCUCUUUGCUGUGGACAUUGAUCUCGGGUGGCUGCCAAUCAGAGAGUGCCCGGGACCUCAAGCUGUGACAGCCUAGGUGGACAGUAGCCUUGGACUCAGGUUGUGUACUUAAGAACCAAUAAAUGUCCAUGUCAGCUAAAUUAGGUCUCAAAUCGUUCAAAGAAAU